UACGUAGGGUGCGAGCGUUGUCCGGAAUUAUUGGGCGUAAAGAGCUCGUAGGCGGUUUGUCACGUCGACUGUGAAAGCCCGGGGCUCAACUCCGGGUCUGCAGUCGAUACGGGCAGACUAGAGUUCGGUAGGGGAGACUGGAAUUCCUGGUGUAGCGGUGAAAUGCGCAGAUAUCAGGAGGAACACCGGUGGCGAAGGCGGGUCUCUGGGCCGAUACUGACGCUGAGGAGCGAAAGCGUGGGGAGCAAACAGG
rnacentral:rRNA from 1 species